rnacentral:miRNA from 1 species
GCCCUUCCUCUCGGUCCCAUAUUGAACUCGAGUUGGAAGAGGCGAGUCCGGUCUCAAA